rnacentral:tRNA from 1 species
GCGGGCGUAGCUCAGCUGGUAGAGCGCUAGCUUCCCAAGCUGGAUGUCGCGGGUUCGAGUCCCGUCGCCCGCUCCA